AGAAAAGUAAGCUAAAUUAAGCUAAUGGGUUCAUACCCCAUAUAUAGAGUAUACACUCUCUUCUCUA
rnacentral:tRNA from 1 species